CUCUGACCCUUCUCCUUGCUUCCUUGAGCUUCUGGCAAAAAUAUCCCUAAUGAGACAGAAAAGCGUAUUUUUUAUAUACACCCCUAUAUACUUAUUAACCCGUAAUAGGGAACACAUGGGAUGGGCGGCCGCCCAUAAGUAUAUAGGGGUGUAUAUAAAAAAUACCCCUUUCUGUCUCAUUAGAGAUAUUUUUUCCAGAAGCUCAAGGAAGCAAGGAGAAGGGUCAGAGU